GAAGGUUUGGAGCAGGGUAGAGGAAAUUAGAACGAUUUCUAUCUUAAGGGAAGAAGAAAACAAACGAAGAAGAAAAUUGGGUGGCUUGAGUAAAUUCUCAGUUGCUUGACAAAGCUUGGUCAGGCCCUGGAUCCUGAUUUUGCUAGGUAGAAGAAGCUCCCUUUUAUAGGCACAAAGAAUCCCUAAUUUUGUCUAACCUCCUUCUUCCUUUUUCUUUGCUUCUUUCCA
rnacentral:lncRNA from 1 species